ACGUAUAUAUAUAUAUAUAUAUUUAUUCAUUUUAUUUUAAAGAUAGUAGCUAAAGUAAAUUCAGUAGAACUUUGAUCUAGAACGUUUAUUUUCUGCCUCAUCGAUACUUUUUGUGUACAAUUGUUAAGUGUGACUUUUGUAAAGCUGCAUCAUUGAAGGAUCGAAUGUUCAGAUGUUUCAUUAAACAAAAGAUAAUCAUUGACAGAAUAAUUCACAUUUCGGAAUGAAAUUCUAAGACUACGUUCGGGAAGCGAAAUUAUCAGUGCUAUUAUCAUUUGUUUUCUAGAGCGACAGAAUUAGUAAAUCAUAAAAUGAUGACUGUGAAGGAAAGCAUACAUGUGAUCUACGAUUUUUUGCUGUUUAUCGGCAUGGCAAUAGUUUAUUUCACCGAAACUGUAGUAUUAACGCUAGUUCCUCGUCGAUAUCGAGCAAAAUCGAUUAAAGGUGAAAUUGCUCUUGUUACGGGUGGUGCUAGCGGAAUCGGCAGACUAAUCGCAAUCAAAUUCGCCCAACUUGGUGCACACGUAGUUGUUUGGGACAUCAAUAAA